rnacentral:rRNA from 1 species
AGCAGUUCACCAUCGAAUUGUCAGUGAUGUUCAUAACGAUCCUUGAAAAUCCGAGUACGGUGAUCCUAUCACAUCAGGUCGUACCCAUAACCGCAUCAGGUCUCCAAGGUUAGCAGCCUCUGGUCGAUAGAAUAAUGUAGAUAAGGGAAUUCGGCAAAUUAGAUCCGUAACUUCGGGAAAAGGAUUGGCUCUGAGGAUUGGGUGUUUAGAACCUUACUAGGACAAUGGAAACUAACUAGGACUUGUCGCAAGACAGGACCCUGUUGGAUGAAGUUAGAAUUGUGAGGAGCUCUUGCACAAGUAACAAUCGACUCAGAACUGAAGCGGACAAGGAGAAUCCGACUGUUUAAUAAAAACAUAGCAUUGUGAUGGCGUGAAAACGUGUUGACACAAUGUGAUUUCUGCCCAGUGCUUUGAAUGUGAAUAUGAAGUAAUUUGUAGAAGCUCAGGUAAACGGCGGAGUAACUAUGACUCUCUUAAGGUA